rnacentral:rRNA from 1 species
UACAGAGGUCUCAAGCGUUGUUCGGAUUCAUUGGGCGUAAAGGGUGCGUAGGCGGCGCGGUAAGUCGGGUGUGAAAUCUCGGAGCUUAACUCCGAAACUGCAUUCGAUACUGCCGUGCUUGAGGACUGGAGAGGAGACUGGAAUUUACGGUGUAGCGGUGAAAUGCGUAGAUAUCGUAAGGAAGACCAGUGGCGAAGGCGAAUCUCUGGACAGUUACUGACACUGAGGCACGAAGGCCAGGGGAGCAAACGGGG